rnacentral:lncRNA from 1 species
CCAACGUAUAUUAGUGAGCCACUCAAUGGUUGCCAACUAAUUAAAUAUUUUACACGUCGAUUUUAGAACUAAAAAAAAUCAAAAUUAAUUUUAAUUUAUAUACAAGAAUCAAAAUUAAUUCCUCCUAAUCUUUUCCUUUUCUUCAUCAUGUUUUUUUUAUCCUCUUUUGUAAUCCCCGAAAAUAGCAAUUCUAGCGUGUUCAGUAUAAUCAAGUUCACACCACCUAAAAAA